rnacentral:rRNA from 1 species
CGGGGUGAGUAACGCGUGGGUAACCUGCCUUAUACAGGGGGAGUAACAGUCAGAAAUGGCUGCUAAUACCGCAUAAGCGCACAGAGCUGCAUGGCUCAGUGUGAAAAACUACCGGUGGUAUAAGAUGGACCCGCGUUGGAUUAGCUUGUUGGCAGGGUAACGGCCUACCAAGGCGACGAUCCAUAGCCGGCCUGAGAGGGUGAACGGCCGCAUUGGGACUGAGACACGGCCCAGACUCCUACGGGAGGCAGCAUG